UCCUCGUUAGUAUAGUGGUGAGUAUCCCCGCCUGUCACGCGGGGAGACCGGGUUCGAUUCCCGGACGGGGAG